rnacentral:tRNA from 1 species
GAGGGUACAGCUCAGUGGUAGAGCAUGUGCUCAGCAUGCACGAGGCCCUGGGUUCAGUCCCCAGUACCUCCG